rnacentral:rRNA from 1 species
AGAACCAACGCUGGCGGCGUGCCUAACACAUGCAAGUCGCACGAGAAAGGGUAGCAAUACCUGAGUACAGUGGCGCACGGGUGAGUAACACGUGACUAACCUACCUCCGAGUGGGGAAUAACUGAGAGAAAUCUUAGCUAAUACCGCAUAACACUUACGAGUCAAAGCAGCAAUGCGCUUGGAGAGGGGGUCGCGGCAGAUUAGUUAGUUGGCGGGGUAAUGGCCCACCAAGACGAUGAUCUGUAUCCGGCCUGAGAGGGCGCACGGACACACUGGAACUGAAACACGGUCCAGACUCCUACGGAGGCAGCAGUGGGGAAUUUUGCGCAAUGGGGGAAACCCUGACGCAGCAACGCCGCGUGGAGGAUGAAAUAUCUUGGUAUGUAAACUCCUUUCGAUGGGGAAGAUUAUGACGGUACCCAUAGAAGAAGCCCCGGCUAACUUCGUGCCAGCAGCCGC